rnacentral:rRNA from 1 species
UUCUGGUUGAUCCUGCCGGAGGCUACCGCUAUUGGAGUUCGAUUAAGCCAUGCGAGUCCAGAGCUUUCGGAGCUCGGCGUACCGCUCAGUAACACGUGGGUAACCUAACCUAUGCAGGGGAAUAACCUCGGGAAACUGAGUAUAAUGCCCCAUAGUCCACUACGCCUGGAACGGUGAGUGGAUCAAAGCUCAGGCGGCAUAGGAUGGGCCUGCGGCGUAUCAGGUUGUAGGGGGUGUAAAGUACCCUCUAGCCAUCUACGCGUACGGGUGUUGGGAGACAUAGCCCGGAGAUGGAUUCUGAGACACGAAUCCAGACCCUACGGGGUGCAGCAGGCGCGAAAACUUGACAAUGCGAGCAAUCGUGAUCAGGGAACUCCAAGUGGCUGGGGUAAGACCCAGUCUUUUCAUAACUCUUCAAAGGUUGUAGAAUAAGGGGUGGGUAAGGACGGUGCCAGCCGCCGCGGUAAUACCGGCGCCUCAAGUGGUAGUCGCUUUUAUUGGGCCUAAAACGUCCGUAGCCGGUUUGGUACAUUCGUGGGUAAAUCAACUCGCUCAACGAGUUGAAUUCUGCGAGGACGGCCAAACUUGGGACCGGGAGAGGUGUGGGGUACUCUCAGGGUAGGGGUAAAAUCCUGUCAUCCUGAGAGGACCACCUGUUGCGAAGGCGCCACACUAGAACGGAUCCGACGGUCAGGGACGAAGCCUAGGGGCACGAACCGGAUUAGAUACCCGGGUAGUCCUAGGUGUAAACGCUGUGGACUUGAU